rnacentral:lncRNA from 1 species
UCAGUAUAAUCAAGUCACAAGCUUCCCUCCUUCUCUUUUUCUGAGCGACAACAGACUGAACGGUUCGAUCUGGCCGGAGUUCGGCGAUCUUCGGAAGCUCCAGGUUUUAGAUUUCAGUGCGAACAAUCUUACAGGAAACAUACCUGAUGAGUUAUCAAAGAUGUCAAAUUUAGAAACCGUGGAGUUAUUCAACAACAAUCUAACAGGAGAAAUACCAUCGUCUCUGACGAAAUUGAAUUUCUUAUCGAAAUUCAACGUGUCACACAACAAUCUUUCCGGUCCGAUCCCUACCGGCGGCCAAUUCCUGACCUUCGACGAUACGAGUUUCGCCGGGAAUCCUGAUCUGUGCGGCGACCGUUCGUCUCUUCCUCCCUGUGACAAUAACAAUAACAAUAACAAUACCGAUAACAAAGUCAGAAGCAGUUACGACGGCGUUAAAUCGGAAAAGAAGAAAAACAAAAUCAUCAUCGGCGUGGUGAGUGGAAUAAGCAUCGGAACCGGUUUGAUUUCAAUUUUCGUGAUCGUUUGUUUGUUUGUGAAAAGAGCACAAUCGCAUUCCGGAAGAAUACAAGUUCUGGAGACAGAGAUCCAAGAAGCUGUGGAUUCAGCAACAGCAGUAGCAGGAGAAGCAGUUGUUGUAUUUGAAAACACUCCGUUAACCAUCGCCGACAUAUUGAAAUCCACCGGCAAUUUCGACGAAGCUAACAUAAUAGGAUGCGGCGGAUUUGGGCUUGUUUACAAGGCGACGUUGGCAAACGGACAGAAGAUGGCGAUAAAACGAUUAUCAGGUGAUUUUGGACAGAUGGAACGAGAAUUCCGAGCAGAAAUCGAUACCUUAUCAAGAGCUCUGCAUCAAAACCUAGUCGUUCUUCAAGGUUACUGUAGAAUGGCAAGUGUUCGGAUUCUGAUGUAUUCCUAUAUGGAGAACGGAAGCUUGGAUUUCUGGCUCCACGAGAACAACAACGACGAUGACAACAGAUCAAGGAAUUUUUUGGAUUGGGGAAUGAGAUUGGAGAUAGCCAAAGGAGCAUCAAAAGGUUUGGAAUAUCUUCACCUGAAUUGCCAACCACACAUCAUCCACCGCGAUAUCAAAUCAAGCAACAUUUUGCUAGAUCAAAAUUUCAAGGCUCAUCUUGCAGAUUUCGGAUUAGCGAGACUGAUCAAAC